GUUUGUGGAUGAUGAUAAAAAAAAAAAAAAACAUCACAGUUAUCCUUAUCUGAUAUAUUUGUGCUGACCUUUUGUGAUCUAACACAAAC